UACAUUCAUAGCACCUAAUAAUAGCACGAUUUUCACAUUUGCUAUCUAAGAUGAGUUUGUAAUUUGCUUACCAUAUGAUAGCAUUUGAUAAACGCUAUAAUAGAGUUUCAAUAAGCGGGAAGUAAAAUCACUUAUACCGCCAAACACUUAGCCAAAUUUACUAAAAAGCAAAAACUUUCUUCUUCUCUUAACACUUUGUCGCGACUCUCUUCUUCUCUUAACACUUAGAGAAACGAAACCCUUAAACCUUCAAAUCUCCAAAUCUAUCGCCGUCGCCAAUUCCGGCGGAAUCUCUCGCCGUCGCCGCUCUCUGAAACACCGCCGGAUCUAAUCUCAGAAGAGCUGAUCCAAUUGAAGGUGUUGAUCAGUGCAAUAAAGGAAUUUUGAAGCUGUUCUUUAUCUCCAAUCACAGUACAGUGUUGCUGAGUGCACUAAAGGAAUUUUGAAGGUUUUCUUUAUCUCUAAUCACAUGACAGGUUAAUAGCUUC